GUCGAGCGAUUUACUUCGGUAAAGAGCGGCGGACGGGUGAGUAACGCGUGGGUCACCUGCCCUGUACACACGGAUAACAUACCGAAAGGUAUGCUAAUACGAGAUAAAAUACUUUUAUCGCAUGGUAGAAGUAUCAAAGCUUUUGCGGUACAGGAUGGACCCGCGUCUGAUUAGCUAGUUGGUAAGGUAACGGCUUACCAAGGCGACGAUCAGUAGCCGACCUGAGAGGGUGAUCGGCCACAUUGGAACUGAGACACGGUCCAAACUCCUACGGGAGGCAGCAGUGGGGAAUAUUGCACAAUGGGCGAAAGCCUGAUGCAGCAACGCCGCGUGAGCGAUGAAGGCCUUCGGGUCGUAAAGCUCUGUCCUCAAGGAAGAUAAUGACGGUACUUGAGGAGGAAGCCCCGGCUAACUACGUGCCAGCAGCCGCGGUAAUACGUAGGGGGCUAGCGUUAUCCGGAAUUACUGGGCGUAAAGGGUGCGUAGGUGGUUUCUUAAGUCAGAGGUGAAAGGCUACGGCUCAACCGUAGUAAGCCUUUGAAACUGGGAAACUUGAGUGCAGGAGAGGAGAGUGGAAUUCCUAGUGUAGCGGUGAAAUGCGUAGAUAUUAGGAGGAACACCAGUUGCGAAGGCGGCUCUCUGGACUGUAACUGACACUGAGGCACGAAAGCGUGGGGAGCAAACAGGAUUAGAUACCCUGGUAGUCCACGCCGUAAACGAUGAGUACUAGCUGUCGGAGGUUACCCCCUUCGGUGGCGCAGCUAACGCAUUAAGUACUCCGCCUGGGAAGUACGCUCGC
rnacentral:rRNA from 1 species